rnacentral:rRNA from 1 species
GGCGAACGGGUGAGUAAUGCAUCGGAACGUGCCCAGUCGUGGGGGAUAACGCAGCGAAAGCUGCGCUAAUACCGCAUACGAUCUGUGGAUGAAAGCGGGGGACCUUCGGGCCUCGCGCGAUUGGAGCGGCCGAUGUCAGAUUAGGUAGUUGGUGGGGUAAAGGCUCACCAAGCCGACGAUCUGUAGCUGGUCUGAGAGGACGACCAGCCACGCUGGGACUGAGACACGGCCCAGACUCCUACGGGAGGCAGCGGUGGGGAAUUUUGGACAAUGGGGGCAACCCUGAUCCAGCAAUGCCGCGUGCAGGAAGAAGGCCUUCGGGUUGUAAACUGCUUUUGUACGGAACGAAAAGGCUCUGGUUAAUACCUGGGGCACAUGACGGUACCGUAAGAAUAAGCACCGGCUAACUACGUGCCAGCAGCCGCGGUAAUACGUAGGGUGCAAGCGUUAAUCGGAAUUACUGGGCGUAAAGCGUGCGCAGGCGGUGCUGUAAGACAGGCGUGAAAUCCCCGGGCUUAACCUGGGAAUGGCGCUUGUGACUGCAGUGCUGGAGUGUGGCAGAGGGGGAUGGAAUUCCGCGUGUAGCAGUGAAAUGCGUAGAUAUGCGGAGGAACACCGAUGGCGAAGGCAAUCCCCUGGGCCUGCACUGACGCUCAUGCACGAAAGCGUGGGGAGCAAACAGGAUUAGAUACCCUGGUAGUCCACGCCCCAAACGAUGUCAACUGGUUGUUGGGUCUUUUCUGACUCAGUAACGAAGCUAACGCGUGAAGUUGACCGCCUGGGGAGUACGGCCGCAAGGUCGAAACUCAAAGGAAUUGACGGGGACCCGCACAAGCGGUGGAUGAUGUGGUUUAAUUCGAUGCAACGCGAAAAACCUUACCCACCUUUGACAUGUACGGAAGUUGCCAGAGAUGGCUUCGUGCUCAAAAGAGAGCCGUAACACAGGUGCUGCAUGGCUGUCGUCAGCUUGUGUCGUGAGAUGUUGGGUUAAGUCCCGCAACGAGCGCAACCCUUGUCAUUAGUUGCUACGAAAGGGCACUCUAAUGAGACUGCCGGUGACAAACCGGAGGAAGGUGGGGAUGACGUCAAGUCCUCAUGGCCCUUAUAGGUGGGGCUACACACGUCAUACAAUGGCCGGUACAAAGGGCAGCCAACCCGCGAGGGGGAGCCAAUCCCAUAAAGCCGGUCGUAGUCCGGAUCGCAGUCUGCAACUCGACUGCGUGAAGUCGGAAUCGCUAGUAAUCGUGGAUCAGCAUGUCACGGUGAAUACGUUCCCGGGUCUUGUACACACCGCCCGUCA